AGCAUAAUCAUUUGUCUUUUAAUUGAAGACUAGAACAAAAGAUUUAACAAUUCAACUAAUAUAAAAAAUUAAUUAUAUUAAUUUAUUUUAAAUGUAAAAAAACAUUUAUAAUAUAGAAAGACGACAAGACCCUAUUAAACUUAACUAUAGUUUAACUGGGGCAGUUAAUAAAUUAUUAUUUUAAUAAAAAUAUAUAAAAAAAAAUCCAGUAAAACUGAAUGCAAUCAAGUUACUAUAGGGAUAACAGCGUAAUAUUUAUCUAAAGACCUUAUUUAAAUAAAAACUUGCGACCUCGAUGUUGAAUUAAUAACCUAAAUUAUUGCAGCAAAUAAAUAAAGGAAGUC
rnacentral:rRNA from 1 species